rnacentral:tRNA from 1 species
GAGGGCAUAGCUCAAGUGUUAGAGCACAUGCCUAUCAGACAUGAGGUUCUGGGUUCAAUCCCCAGUACCUCCU